AGCGAACGCUAGCGGCAGGCUUAACACAUGCAAGUCGCACGCGUGACUUCGGUCACGAGUGGCGGACGGGUGAGUAACACGUAGGUUACCUGCCCUCUGGUGGGGGAUAACCCGGGGAAACCCGGGCUAAUACCGCGUACGGUCUACGGAUCAAAGCCUUCGGGCGCCAGAGGAUGGGCCUGCGUCCCAUUAUUUAGUCCUUGUUGGUGGGGUAACGGCCUACCAAGGGUACGAUGGGUAGCUGGUCUGAGAGGAUGAUCAGCCACACUGGGACUGAGACACGGCCCAGACACCUACGGGUGGCAG
rnacentral:rRNA from 1 species